rnacentral:rRNA from 1 species
GACGAACGCUGGCGGUGUGCUUAACACAUGCAAGUCGAACGGAAAGGCCCUGCUUUUGUGGGGUGCUCGAGUGGCGAACGGGUGAGUAACACGUGAGUAACCUGCCCUUGACUUUGGGAUAACUUCAGGAAACUGGGGCUAAUACCGGAUAGGAGCUCCUGCUGCAUGGUGGGGGUUGGAAAGUUUCGGCGGUUGGGGAUGGACUCGCGGCUUAUCAGCUUGUUGGUGGGGUAGUGGCUUACCAAGGCUUUGACGGGUAGCCGGCCUGAGAGGGUGACCGGCCACAUUGGGACUGAGAGACGGCCCAGACUCCUACGGGAGGCAGCAGGGGGGAAUAUUGCACAAUGGGCGGAAGCCUGAUGCAGCAACGCCGCGUGCGGGAUGACGGCCUUCGGGUUGUAAACCGCUUUCGCCUGUGACGAAGCGUGAGUGACGGUAAUGGGUAAAGAAGCACCGGCUAACUACGUG